AUGAACGUUGGCGGCGUGGAUUAGGCAUGCAAGUCGUGCGGAAAGGCUCCUUCGGGAGUACUCGAGCGGCGAAAGGGAGAGUAACGCGUGGAUAUCUACCCCCUGGCCUGGGAUAGCGGCGGGAAACUGCCGGUAAUACCAGAUAAUGUCUGCGGACCAGAGGUGUGAUUCCGCCGGGGGAUGAGUUCGCGUCCUAUUAGCUAGUUGGUAGGGUAACGGCCUACCAAGGCAAAGAUGGGUACCGGGUGUGAGAGCAUGGCCCGGCUCACUGGGACUGAGACACUGCCCAGACACCUACGGGUGGCUGCAGUCGAGAAUCUUCGGCAAUGGGCGCAAGCCUGACCGAGCGACGCCGCGUGCGGGAUGAAGGCCUUCGGGUUGUAAACCGCUGUCAGAGGGGAGGAAAUGCGUAGGAGUUCUCUCUUACGUUUGACCUAUCCUCAGAGGAAGUACGGGCUAAGUUCGU
rnacentral:rRNA from 1 species